rnacentral:rRNA from 1 species
CCUACGGGUGGCAGCAGUGGGGAAUAUUGGGCAAUGGGCGCAAGCCUUACCCAGCAAUACCGCGUGAGUGAAGAAGGUCUUCGGAUUGUAAAGCUCUUUGAUCAGGGACGAACAGAUGACGGUACCUGAAGAAAAAGCCCCGGCUAACUACGUGCCAGCAGCCGGGGGAAAGCGUAGGGGGCGAGCGUUCUCCGGAAUGACUGGGCGUAAAGGGUGCGUAGGGGGCAAAAUAAGUUAGAAGGGAAAUACCCAGGGCUUAACUCGGGUGCUGCAUCUAAGACUGUUGAGCUUGAGUGCGGGAGAGGUUAAUGGAAGUCCUGGUGUAGCGGUGGAAUGCGUAGAUAUUAGGAGGAACACCAGAGGCGAAGGCGAUUAACUGGACCGUAACUGACGCUGAGGCACGAAAGUGUGGGUAGCAAACAGGAUUAGAUACCCCAGUAGUC